rnacentral:rRNA from 1 species
CCUACGGGUGGCAGCAGUGAGGAAUAUUGGUCAAUGGGCGAGAGCCUGAACCAGCCAAGUCGCGUGAGGGAGUACUGCCCUAUGGGUUGUAAACCUCUUUUGUCGGGGAGCAAAAGCCUGCCGUUUCCGGCUUUGCGAGUACCCGAAGAAAAAGCAUCGGCUAACUCCGCGCCAGCAGCCCCGGUAAUACGGAGGAUGCGAGCGUUAUCCGGAUUUAUUGGGUUUAAAGGGUGCGCAGGCGGAUUGUUAAGUCAGCGGUAAAAUCGUGGGGCUCAACCCCAUCCAGCCGUUGAAACUGGGGAUCUAGAGUGUGCGAGAGGUAUGCGGAAUGCGUGGUGUAGCGGUGAAAUGCAUAGAUAUCACGCAGAACCCCGAUUGCGAAGGCAGCAUACCGGUGCACAACUGACGCUCAGGCACGAAAGCGUGGGUAUCGAACAGGAUUAGAUACCCGGGUAGUC